rnacentral:rRNA from 1 species
GGGUUGUGAGGUUAAGCGAAUAAGCGUACACGGUGGAUGCCUAGGCAAUCAGAGGCGAUGAAGGACGUGCUAAUCUGCGAAAAGCGUCGGUAAGGUGAUAUGAACCGUUAUACCCGACGAUAUCCGAAUGGGGAAACCCAGUAUCCAAUGGAUACUAUCAUUAACUGAAUCCAUAGGUUAAUGAGGCGAACCGGGAGAACUGAAACAUCUCAGUACCCCGAGGAAAAGAAAUCAACCGAGAUUCCCCUAGUAGCGGCGAGCGAACGGGGAGCAGCCCAGAGUCUUAAUCAAUAGCAGUGUCAGGAGAACGGUCUGGAAAGUCCGGCAGUAAAGGGUGAUAGCCCCGUAUCUGAAGAUGCUGUUAUUGUGAACUCGACGAGUAGGGCGGGACACGUGUUAUCCUGUCUGAAUAUGGGGGGACCAUCCUCCAAGGCUAAAUACUCCUGAUUGACCGAUAGUGAACCAGUACCGUGAGGGAAAGGCGAAAAGAACCCCGGCGAGGGGAGUGAAAAAGAACCUGAAACCGUGUACGUACAAGCAGUAGGAGCCUCUUUAUGGGGUGACUGCGUACCUUUUGUAUAAUGGGUCAGCGACUUAUAUUCUGUAGCGAGGUUAACCGUAUAGGGGAGCCGUAGGGAAACCGAGUCUUAACUGGGCGAAUGAGUUGCAGGGUAUAGACCCGAAACCCGGUGAUCUAUCCAUGGGCAGGUUGAAGGUUGGGUAACACUAACUGGAGGACCGAACCGACUAAUGUUGAAAAAUUAGCGGAUGACUUGUGGAUGGGGGUGAAAGGCCAAUCAAACCGGGAGAUAGCUGGUUCUCCCCGAAAGCUAUUUAGGUAGCGCCUCGUGAAUUCAUCUUCGGGGGUAGAGCACUGUUUCGACUAGGGGGUCAUCCCGACUUACCAACUCGAUGCAAACUGCGAAUACCGAAGAAUGUUAUCACGGGAGACACACGGCGGGUGCUAACGUCCGUCGUGAAGAGGGAAACAACCCAGACCGCCAGCUAAGGUCCCAAAGUCAUGGUUAAGUGGGAAACGAAGUGGGAAGGCUCAGACAGCCAGGAUGUUGGCUUAGAAGCAGCCAUCAUUUAAAGAAAGCGUAAUAGCUCACUGGUCGAGUCGGCCCGCGCGGAAGAUGUAACGGGGCUAAACCAUGCACCGAAGCUGCGGCAGCGACACAAUGUGUUGUUGGGUAGGGGAGCGUUCUGUAAGCCUGCGAAGGUGUACUGUGAGGUAUGCUGGAGGUAUCAGAAGUGCGAAUGCUGACAUAAGUAACGAUAAUGCGGGUGAAAAACCCGCACGCCGGAAGACCAAGGGUUCCUGUCCAACGUUAAUCGGGGCAGGGUGAGUCGACCCCUAAGGCGAGGCUGAAAAGCGUAGUCGAUGGGAAACGGGUUAAUAUUCCCGUACUGGUGGUAACUGCGAUGGGGGAACGGAGAAGGCUAGGUUGUCCGGGCGACGGUCGUCCCGGUUCAAGCAGGUAGGCAGAGUGAUUAGGCAAAUCCGGUCACUUAAUGCUGAGAUGUGAUGACGAACCACUAAGGUGGUGAAGCAAUUGAUGCCCCGCUUCCAGGAAAAGCCUCUAAGCUUCAGGUUACCAACAAUCGUACCCCAAACCGACACAGGUGGUCAGGUAGAGAAUACUCAGGCGCUUGAGAGAACUCGGGUGAAGGAACUAGGCAAAAUGGUGCCGUAACUUCGGGAGAAGGCACGCUGGCGGUAAGUAAAGUCCCUCGCGGACGGCGCUGAAGCCAGUCGAAGAUACCAGCUGGCUGCAACUGUUUAUUAAAAACACAGCACUGUGCAAACACGAAAGUGGACGUAUACGGUGUGACGCCUGCCCGGUGCUGGAAGGUUAAUUGAUGGGGUUAGCGCAAGCGAAGCUCCUGAUCGAAGCCCCAGUAAACGGCGGCCGUAACUAUAACGGUCCUAAGGUAGCGAAAUUCCUUGUCGGGUAAGUUCCGACCUGCACGAAUGGCGUAAUGAUGGCCAGGCUGUCUCCACCCGAGACUCAGUGAAAUUGAACUCGCUGUGAAGAUGCAGUGUACCCGCGGCAAGACGGAAAGACCCCGUGAACCUUUACUAUAGCUUGACACUGAACAUUGAGCCUUGAUGUGUAGGAUAGGUGGGAGGCUUUGAAGUGUGGACGCCAGUCUGCAUGGAGCCAACCUUGAAAUACCACCCUUUAACGUUUGAUGUUCUAACCUAGGCCCAUAAACUGGGUCGGGGACCGUGUCUGGUGGGUAGUUUGACUGGGGCGGUCUCCUCCUAAAGAGUAACGGAGGAGCACGAAGGUUGGCUAAGCAUGGUCGGACAUCAUGCGGUUAGUGCAAAGGCAUAAGCCAGCUUGACUGCGAGAGUGACGGCUCGAGCAGGUACGAAAGUAGGUCUUAGUGAUCCGGUGGUUCUGAAUGGAAGGGCCAUCGCUCAACGGAUAAAAGGUACUCCGGGGAUAACAGGCUGAUACCGCCCAAGAGUUCAUAUCGACGGCGGUGUUUGGCACCUCGAUGUCGGCUCAUCACAUCCUGGGGCUGAAGUAGGUCCCAAGGGUAUGGCUGUUCGCCAUUUAAAGUGGUACGCGAGCUGGGUUUAGAACGUCGUGAGACAGUUCGGUCCCUAUCUGCCGUGGGCGUUGGAAGAUUGAGAGGGGUUGCUCCUAGUACGAGAGGACCGGAGUGAACGCACCACUGGUGUUCGGGUUGUCAUGCCAAUGGCAUUGCCCGGUAGCUAAGUGCGGAAGAGAUAACCGCUGAAAGCAUCUAAGCGGGAAACUUGCCUCGAGAUGAGUCUUCCCUGUCGCUUUAAGCGACCUAAAGGAACGUUUAAGACUAAGACGUUGAUAGGCUGGGUGUGUAAGCGUAGCGAUACGUUGAGCUAACCAGUACUAAUGAACCGUGAGGCUUAACCUGACAACACCGAAAGUGUUUUG